CCAGCCCUCCAUCUUCUCUUCCACUGCUUUUUGUCUCCUUGACCAUCCCAUUUCCAUGGAUUCCUUUGAGCACCGCACACCCUGGAAUUGCUCCUGAGAGUCAGUAUUUAACCUAGCAGACAGCAAACAGCCAACAGCAGGGAUGUGUUUGCGAAUGAAUGUCUGCACAGAUGGAUGAUGGGAGUUCUGAGUCUGGCUUCCCGGAUACGAAGCCAUUAAGAGCACAUUUCUGGUCCUCGCCAGAACCUCUAGACCCCACAGGUCUCUAUCAACAAUGAGCAGCCGUUUUCUAGGAUCUGUCCCCUCCUCCAACAAUAAACAGUCACUGAAAUAAAGCAAAAGUAGUCCUUGCAAAGAUCUACUUGUGGGUGUAGUUCUUAGU
rnacentral:lncRNA from 1 species